UACGGAGGAGGCAAGCGUUAUCCGGAAUUAUUGGGCGUAAAGCGUCCGCAGGUGGCGAUUCAAGUCUGCGGUCAAAGACUGGGGCUUAACCCUGGAAAGGCCGUGGAAACUGAAUAGCUAGAGUGCAGUAGGGGUAGAGGGAAUUCCCGGUGUAGCGGUGAAAUGCGUAGAGCUCGGGAAGAACAUCGGUGGCGAAAGCGCUCUGCUGGACUGCAACUGACACUCAGGGACGAAAGCUAGGGGGGCGAAUGGG
rnacentral:rRNA from 1 species